GCGGCUGUGGUCCAGCGGCUAUGACAGGGGCUUCCCAACAACCUUUUGCAAGCAAAAGCUUGACCAAAAGAAGGGAAAUAGCCUCUAACCCGGGUUCGAUUCCCGGCAGCCGCA
rnacentral:tRNA from 1 species